rnacentral:rRNA from 1 species
AUUGAACGCUAGCGGGAUGCCUUACACAUGCAAGUCGAACGGAGUGGCGAACGGGUGAGUAAUGUAUCGGAACGUGCCCAGUAGCGGGGGAUAACUACGCGAAAGCGUAGCUAAUACCGCAUACUCUUGGAGCGGCCGAUAUCGGAUUAGCUAGUUGGGGGGGGAACGGCUCACCAAGGCGACGACCCGUAGCUGGGUUGAGAGGACGACCAGCCACACUGGGACUGAGACACGGCCCAGACUCCUACGGGAGGCAGCAGUGGGGAAUAUUGGACAAUGGGGGAAAGCCUGAUCCAGCCAUGCCGCGUGUGCGAAGAAGGCCUUCGGGUUGUAAAGCACUUUUGGCAGGAAAGCGGUACCUGCAGAAGAAGCACCGGCUAACUACGUGCCAGCAGCCGCGGUAAUUC